rnacentral:rRNA from 1 species
GCUCAGAUUGAACGCUGGCGGCAGGCCUAACACAUGCAAGUCGAGCGGAUGAAGAGAGCUUGCUCUCUGAUUCAGCGGCGGACGGGUGAGUAAUGCCUAGGAAUCUGCCUGGUAGUGGGGGACAACGUCUCGAAAGGGACGCUAAUACCGCAUACGUCCUACGGGAGAAAGCAGGGGACCUUCGGGCCUUGCGCUAUCAGAUGAGCCUAGGUCGGAUUAGCUAGUUGGUGAGGUAAUGGCUCACCAAGGCGACGAUCCGUAACUGGUCUGAGAGGAUGAUCAGUCACACUGGAACUGAGACACGGUCCAGACUCCUACGGGAGGCAGCAGUGGGGAAUAUUGGACAAUGGGCGAAAGCCUGAUCCAGCCAUGCCGCGUGUGUGAAGAAGGUCUUCGGAUUGUAAAGCACUUUAAGUUGGGAGGAAGGGUUGUAGAUUAAUACUCUGCAAUUUUGACGUUACCGACAGAAUAAGCACCGGCUAACUCUGUGCCAGCAGCCGCGGUAAUACAGAGGGUGCAAGCGUUAAUCGGAAUUACUGGGCGUAAAGCGCGCGUAGGUGGUUUGUUAAGUUGGAUGUGAAAGCCCCGGGCUCAACCUGGGAACUGCAUUCAAAACUGACAAGCUAGAGUAUGGUAGAGGGUGGUGGAAUUUCCUGUGUAGCGGUGAAAUGCGUAGAUAUAGGAAGGAACACCAGUGGCGAAGGCGACCACCUGGACUGAUACU